GAUGAACGCUGGCGGCGUGCUUAACACAUGCAAGUCGAACGAUGAAGCCCAGCUUGCCGGGUGGAUUAGUGGCGAACGGGUGAGUAACACGUGAGUAACCUGCCCUUAACUCUGGGAUAAGCCUGGGAAACUGGGUCUAAUACCGGAUAGGAGCGUCCACCGCAUGGCGGGUGUUGGAAAGAUUUAUCGGUUUUGGAUGGACUCGCGGCCUAUCAGCUUGUUGGUGAGGUAAUGGCUCACCAAGGCGACGACGGGUAGCCGGCCUGAGAGGGUGACCGGCCACACUGGGACUGAGACACGGCCCAGACUCCUACGGGAGGCAGCAGUGGGGAAUAUUGCACAAUGGGCGCAAGCCUGAUGCAGCGACGCCGCGUGAGGGAUGACGGCCUUCGGGUUGUAAACCUCUUUCAGUAGGGAAGAAGCGAAAGUGACGGUACCUGCAGAAGAAGCACCGGCUAACUACGUG
rnacentral:rRNA from 1 species